UGGGGAAUAUUGCACAAUGGGCGCAAGCCUGAUGCAGCCAUGCCGCGUGUAUGAAGAAGGCCUUCGGGUUGUAAAGUACUUUCAGCGGGGAGGAAGGCGAUGCGGUUAAUAACCGCGUCGAUUGACGUUGCCCGCAGAAGAAGCACCGGCUAACUCCGUG
rnacentral:rRNA from 1 species